GGAAAUGCCGCUACCAUGGAAACGCCGCAAGGGAGCAGUUCCAUUCUGAUGGUUAACUCUGGCGCGGUUCCUUUGAUUCAGCCAUAAGAGUUUGGUGUCAAAGUGGCCAUUCUCUCUAUUGAUGACAUGCUAAGUGUCUGCUGCCAAAGACACCUUUGUCUCAAAUAACCCUCAGGCACUGUCUGUCCACUUUCUGUCCACAGUGCCUUGCUGUGGAAAAUACAAAUACAAACUUUCUAUCUAUAUCAACUAUAUAUCAACUAUCAUCUAUAUCAAAUUCUUGCCUUCAAGAAUUGAUAAAAUUGAAGGGAAUCGGGAUCACUGGAUUUGCCACCUCCACAAUCUGGACAUAUCCUAGCCUCCAAAUCUGGUGAUGAGCCAGGGCAAUUGUUGUUGAAGGAAAUAAACUUUUGAGAUAGGUUGGUGCUAAGUAGAUUUGGCAAAGAGGAAUCUAAUUGUGGGGUCCUUGGUGGUCUUUGACCAUGAGGUUUUCUUGCCGAUAUUUCAUCACCAAACUAGUACAGCCAUGAACAUCAAGCAGCAGUCAGAAGACAUAAUGAAAACUCCUUAACUUCAUAACAAAUGGACAGACUCAACCAUAGUUUCAACUAUAAAACUAUACAAUGUCAGCUGGAUGACUUUGAGCCAGUUGCUUUCUCUUAGCCCUAGGAGGAAAGCAAUGGCAAAGCACUUCUGAAAAAUCUUGCCAAGAAAAGUGCAGAAACUUGUCCACGCAGUCUCUGAGAAUUGAACACAAUUGGAAGAAAGAAAAAAACCUUAUAAGAGAAUAUGGAACAAGUGGCUUCAGGACUCCAGUUUAUGGGAUGGCUCUACAAGGGCUCAAAUUGCUUUGAUGCCCAAAGGCUAGUGAAAAAUGUUGCUUUUACAAAGAUGUUGCAGUACUUCUCUGGUGAUGAUGUACCUGAUAUAGACUUCUACCUUUUUAUUCAAGAAUUCAAAUCUUCUAAAUCCAGAAAAGAGAAAUAGAGAUACCCUGCUGGGAAAGGAGAGACAGCAGACAAAUCCGGACCUGACUUCCUUGAAGAACUUCUUUCCAAUAUUCCUUUGGGUUGGAAAGAACAGGGAAGAAAACCAAGAUUGAGAUUAGGAGGAGGAGGAAGGAAUAAAAAGACUAGUAAUCGCUUGCCACGUGUGUACAUCACAUGUACAGCUCAUUAAUGUUACUAAUUUUUAUUUUCAAAAUGUACAUAAGAUUGGCCUUAAAGGAUUAGAUACAAGAAUAUUGGGAAUAGAAAUACUGUAAUCCCAUCUUUAAAUGAGAAGGUUACUCUCUCUGAAUUUCUACCAUUUUUAAACUUAAGUACAUCUAUUUCCAUAUUCAUUUGAUAAUAUAUUUUAAAUAUUGUAUUAAGAUUCAUAUGUAUUUUUGUAUAAAUUUUUGUCUGCAAUUUGUAUAAUUUUGUUUUGUAAGAAAUUUUCUUCAAUACAGGUAUAUUUUCAC